rnacentral:rRNA from 1 species
UACGGGGGGGGCAAGCGUUGUUCGGAAUUACUGGGCGUAAAGCGUGCGCAGGCGGUUUUGUAAGACAGGUGUGAAAUCCCCGGGCUUAACCUGGGAACUGCGCUUGUGACUGCAAGACUCGAGUACGGCAGAGGGGGGUAGAAUUCCACGUGUAGCAGUAAAAUGCGUAGAGAUGUGGAGGAAUACCGAUGGCGAAGGCAGCCCCCUGGG